GGAGGUCCGAACCCACGAGCGUUGAAAAGCUCGGGGAUGACUUGUGGGUAGCGGUGAAAUUCCAAUCGAGCCCGGAGAUAGCUGGUUCUCCCCGAAAUAGCUUUAGGGCUAGCCUCAAGGUGAGAGAUACGGAGGUAGAGCACUGAAUGUCCUAGGGGGUAUUGCACCUACCGAAGACUAUCAAACUCCGAAUGCCGUCAUCUUAUACUUGGGAGUCAGACUGUGGGUGAUAAGAUUCAUAGUCGAAAGGGCAACAGCCCAGAUCGUCAGCUAAGGUCCCUAAAUGUAAGUUAAGUGGUAAAGGAUGUGGGAUUGCACAGACAACCAGGAUGUUGGCUUAGAAGCAGCCACUCAUUCAAAGAGUGCGUAAUAGCUCACUGGUCGAGUGAUCCUGCGCCGAAGAUUUCCGGGGCUAAAACUUACUACCGAAGCUACGGCAUCAGUAAUGAUGGGUAGGGGAGCUUCCCAUACGGGUUGAAGCAUGACCGUAAGGACAUGUGGACAGUAUGGGAGUGAGAAUGUUGGCAUGAGUAGCGAGAUGUGGGUG
rnacentral:rRNA from 1 species